CACCGCGGUUAUACGAGAAACCCUAGUUGACAGAUACGGCGUAAAGAGUGGUUAAGGGAUAUAAAAAAUAAAGUCAAACAUUUUCCUAGUUGUUAUAAGCAUUUCGAGAACAUGAAGCCCAACCACGAAAGUGACUUUACCUUCGCCUGACCCCACGAAAGCUAAGAAA
rnacentral:rRNA from 1 species